UCCAUGUCAACGACUGAUGACUUGCUAUUACCGGUUACCAUCUCCCCUGUUUUCUUAUACAAGAAUCUUACAUAAUACUCACAUUUCUUCAUUUUUCUCUCUCUCUCUCUCUUUGCUUCUCCCUAGGUUUAAGAUACAUCAUUGACUUUGAGGUUUGGUUAAAAUGGAUCCGAGGUUUAAUGGACAUCCGAGUUCUUUGAAUAAUUUUCGAUUUGGGAACCAACCAUUACCUUUUUCUUCAGAGCAGAGGAUGAUUAAUGGACCAAGAUUUGGACUUAUUUAUUCAGAUCAGAAUCUACUCAAUGGUCCUAGACUUGAAAAUAACUUUGUCCAACACGAUUUUGGUGCUGUUGGAUUUAUAAGUGGUGACCAUUUACCUACUAAUGUAGAAUCAAGAACUGACCUUGGCGUUGAGAACGACUUCAAUGAAGAUAUUGAUUUCUCGGAUGCAGUGUUGAGCUAUAUAAAUCGGAUGCUAAUGGAAGAAGACAUGGAGGACAAGACAGAUAUGCUUCAGGAGUCCUUGGAACUUCAAGCUAAAGAGAAGUCACUCUAUGAGGCCCUUGGUAAGAAGUAUCCACUAUCACCGGAGCAAAACGUGUUUACUGAUCGGAACAGUGAGAGUCCUGAUGACUACUUUGCAGGAAGUAUAUACAAUUCCACAAGUAAUACUGGGGGCAGUAGUGGUUACCUAAUCGAUCCAAGGGGGGUUAACAUUUCCACUGACUGCAAUUCUUCUUACUUCGAAGGCCUUUCAUUUCAUAAUACUUCUUCAGUAUGCUCAUCAAAUAGUGGGAGUAAUGUUGUCGAUGGAUUCUUAGACUCUCCUGUUAGUUCUUUUCAUAUUCCUGAUAUAUAUGAUGAGAGUCAAUCUAUUUUGAACUUUCAGAAAGGAGUUGAAGAAGCAAGUAAGUUCCUCCCGACUAGUAAUAAGUUGUUGAACAGUGUAGAUAUAAAUGACUUGCCAUCUCGGGAGCCCCAAAGGCAAGCUGGUUAUGCAGCUGCUCAGGUGGAGGAAAAGGAUGAGGGAGAGACUUCACCAACUGAGGUGAGAGGGAAGAAAAAUCCUCUGAGGGGUGAUAAUAAUAUCGAAGGAGAAAGGAGUAGUAAACAGGCUGCGGUUUUUACUGAAUCAACUCUACGAUCGGAGGAGUUUGAUAUCGUCUUGCUGAAUAGCAUGGGGAAGGGAGGAGAAGCACUAGAAGCUUAUCGACAAAACCUGAGGAAUGCUAAAAGCAAAACCACAGUGCAGAUAUCAAAAGGAUCAAAAGGAGGAAAGGGCCGAGGGAAGAAACAGGGCGGAAAGAAGGAAGUCAUAGAUUUGAGAACUCUCAUGAUAAAUUGCGCACAGGCUGUUGCUGCUGACGAUUCCAGGAUUGCAUAUGAACUUUUGAAACAAAUAAGACAACAUUCAUCCCCAUUUGGAGAUGGAAACCAGAGAUUGGCUCAUUGCUUUGCAGAUGGUCUCGAGGCGCGUUUGGCUGGUACUGGUAGCCAGAUAUAUAAAGCUCUUGUCAAUAAACGAACAUCUGCAGCUGAUCUUUUGAAGGCCUACCAUUUGUAUCUCGCAUCUAGCCCAUUCAGAAAGAUCUCAAGUUUUGCUUCAAACAAGACAAUCAUGAUAAAGGCAGAGAAUGCAACAAGGGUUCAUGUUAUUGACUUUGGCAUCCUGUAUGGUUUCCAAUGGCCUACAUUCAUCCAACGUAUUGCAGAAAGAGAAGGGGGGCCACCAAGGCUUCGUAUUACUGGCAUAGAGUUUCCCCAACCAGGCUUCAGGCCAGCGGAACGGAUUGAGGAAACAGGUCGCCGUUUGGCUGAUUAUGCUCGAUCCUUUAAUGUUCCAUUUGAAUACCAUGCAAUUGCAAAGAAAUGGGAGAGCAUUACAGUUGAGGAUCUAAAACUCGACAAAGAUGAAUUUCUUGCUGUCAACUGCUUGUAUCGUUUUAAGAACCUGCAUGAUGAGACUAUUGCAGUUGAAAGUUCAAGAACUAUCGUUCUCAACCUCGUAAGGAAGAUCAAUCCAGAUAUUUUCGUCCAUGGUAUUGUCAAUGGGGCCUAUAGUGCCCCAUUUUUUGUCACACGGUUUCGUGAGGCCUUAUUCCACUUUUCUGCACUUUUUGAUAUGCUUGAAACUAUUGUUCCCCGUGAGAUUCCAGAAAGACGAUUAAUUGAGAGAGAGAUAUUUGGGAGGGAAGCACUGAAUGUCAUAGCUUGUGAGGGGUGGGAAAGAGUUGAACGACCAGAGACAUACAAGCAGUGGCAAGCUCGUAUUAUGGGGGCAAGGUUUACGCAGAUACCUUUUGACCGGGAGGAAUUCGUGAAUAAGGCAAUAGAGAAAGUGAGGUUAGGAUAUCAUAGAGACUUUGUAAUCGAUGAAGAUAGCCAGUGGUUGUUGCUGGGGUGGAAAGGAAGAACAAUUUACGCCUUAUCUUGUUGGAAACCUGUGUAAGAAACUUGAAACACAUUCUUACUUUCGAAUCCCAAGUCCAUCCACAUAUUUGAAGAUCAAAUGCAGCAAUACAGUUUGUAACUGGCUUCUCAGUGUCUUGAUACAGUAAUAAAGACUGUAACAACAAGAUCAUUUGGUUGCUAAACUCGUCGAGUUUCCUAAUAUGGACGGGGCUAUAAUACUGCUGCGUACACUUCAAUAACCAUCUGAUAAUCAGACAAGACGAGGCUUCGGUGCAUGUUCUUGGUGAUGAUCAUCAGCAUACACAACAUAGGAGUUGAGUUGAUUGAAUCGAUAUUCCAUAGAAGAAUGACCGAGGCCAUAAAAUCAUUCGUUGAAGAGCUAGCUGACAAGCCAUUACUGCACAGUGUGCAUCAGAUAUGUACUCUGGAAUUUUGUGAACUUGCAGUAUAUGUUAGUUUGUUCAAUAUACUUGGAGCCCUAUUUGAAGUUAA